rnacentral:tmRNA from 1 species
GGGGGUGAUCUGGAUUCGACCGGAUGUAAUGAAGCGUAGGUUGCGUGUCGUGGUUGAUCAGUGGGCCACGUUAAAAGCUGAUCACAAUUUUUAGUUGCAGAUGAAAGUCUUGCACUGGCCGCCUAAGAAAAGGUAGCCCGGACUGAGGGGGAUCGCCAGAGUCGCCCGACUGUCCGUCACAAUUCUGGAUCGUUCGACGUCCUUCUCGAGACGCGUUGAAUUAAAACCUGAUUCGAGGUAGCGAUCGGCGGAGCCUGUCGGGCAGCGCCGUGGAGAGUGAAACAGCUUCCUUCGGGGAAGUGUAAAUAGCUCGACUACACACGUAGACGCCGACGUGGAUGCAUCGCGGGACGCGGGUUCAAUUCCCGCCGCCUCCAC